rnacentral:rRNA from 1 species
GACAGAGGGUGCGAACGUUGUUCGGAAUUACUGGGCGUAAAGCGCGUGUAGGCGGCAGCGCAAGUCGGGCGUGAAAUCCCACGGCUCAACCGUGGAAGUGCACUCGAAACUGCGCAGCUAGAGUCCUGGAGAGGAAGGUGGAAUGCUUGGUGUAGAGGUGAAAUUCGUAGAUAUUCGCAAGAACACCAGUGGCGAAGGCGACUCACUGGACAUGUAAUUGACGCUGAGGUGCGAAAGCGUGGGGAGCAAACAGG